rnacentral:rRNA from 1 species
ACACAUGCAAGUCGAACGGCAGCGGGUAGGAAGCUUGCUUCCUAUGCCGGCGAGUGGCGGACGGGUGAGGAGCACAUCGGAAUCUACUCCGUCGUGGGGGAUAACGUAGGGAAACUUACGCUAAUACCGCAUACGACCUAAGGGUGAAAGUGGGGGACCGCAAGGCCUCACGCGAUGGAAUGAGCCGAUGUCCGAUUAGCUAGUUGGCGGGGUAAAGGCCCACCAAGGCGACGAUCGGUAGCUGGUCUGAGAGGAUGAUCAGCCACACUGGGACUGAGACACGGCCCAGACUCCUACGGGAGGCAGCAGUGGGGAAUAUUGGACAAUGGGCGAAAGCCUGAUCCAGCCAUGCCGCGUGGGUGAAGAAGGCCUUCGGGUUGUAAAGCCCUUUUGUUGGGGAAGAAAUCCUGCUGGCUAAUACCCGGCGGGGAUGACGGUACCCAAAGAAUAAGCACCGGCUAACUUCGUGCCAGCAGCCGCGGUAAUACGAAGGGUGCAAGCGUUACUCGGAAUUACUGGGCGUAAAGCGUGCGUAGGUGGUGGCUUAAGUCCGUUGUGAAAGCCCUGGGCUCAACCUGGGAAUUGCAGUGGAUACUGGGUCACUAGAGUGUGGUAGAGGGUGGCGGAAUUCCCGGUGUAGCAGUGAAAUGCGUAGAGAUCGGGAGGAACACCCGUGGCGAAG